rnacentral:rRNA from 1 species
GCUUGUCUCAAAGAUUAAGCCAUGCAUGUCUAAGUAUAAACACCUUUAUACUGUGAAACUGCGUACAGCUCAUUAAAUCAGUAAUAAUUUAUUUGAUGGUGACUUACUACAUGGAUAACCGUAGUAACCUAGAGCUAAUACAUGCACAAAAUCCCGACUUCACGGAAGGGAUGUAUUUAUUAGAUAAAAAACCAAUCCGGCAACGGUGCUUGGUGAUUCAUAAUAACUGUUCGAAGCGCACGGCCUCGCGCCGGCGCUAGUUCAUUCAAAUUUCUGCCCUAUCAGCUUUCGACGGUAGUGUAGUGGACUACCGUGGCGCUAACGGGUGACGGAGAAUUAGGGUUCGGUUCCGGAGAGGGAGCCUGAGAAACGGCUACCACAUCCAAGGAAGGCAGCAGG